rnacentral:rRNA from 1 species
GAUGAACGCUGGCGGCGUGCCUAAUACAUGCAAGUCGAGCGAAUGGAUUAAGAGCUUGCUCUUAUGAAGUUAGCGGCGGACGGGUGAGUAACACGUGGGUAACCUGCCCAUAAGACUGGGAUAACUCCGGGAAACCGGGGCUAAUACCGGAUAACAUUUUGAACCGCAUGGUUCGAAAUUGAAAGGCUGCUUCGGCUGUCACUUAUGGAUGGACCCGGGUCGCAUUAGCGAGUUGGUGAGGUAACGGCUCACCAAGGCAACGAUGCGUAGCCGACCUGAGAGGGUGAUCGGCCCCACUGGGACUGAGACACGGCCCAGACUCCUACGGGAGGCAGCAGUAGGGAAUCUUCCGCAAUGGACGAAAGUCUGACGGAGCAACGCCGCGUGAGUGAUGAGGGCUUUCGGGUCGUAAAACUCUGUUGUUAGGGAAGAACAAGUGCUAGUUGAAUAAGCUGGCACCUUGACGGUACCUAACCAGAAAGCCACGGCUAACUACGUGCCAGCCGCCGCGGUAA